GGAGAAGGAGGAAGAGCGAGUGUUUAAUAGGAACCAGCUGUCAUAUCAUUGUAGCUAUAAAUAGUGCCUGCCAUUAUCAUCCCCAUUGCACAGAGGAGAAAAUUGAAGCUCAGAGAGAUGAAGCAGCUUGCCCAAGGUCACACAGCUUGUCAAGAGCUAAUAGAUGUGGAAACUGAGGCUUGAAGAAGGGAAGACACUUGCCCAAAGCUGCGCAGCUGGUCAGCAGCAGGAAUGGAGUUUAAAUCUGAUUCAUCUGGCCUGAAUGCUCAGUUCUCUAAGGCUGUCUCCUAGAGUCCACUGGCAUCUACCCAUCCAACCAGCAUGCUAGGGAGGAACCCACAACCCCUACAAUUCAUAAGAUUAACACAAAUGGACGUUUCAGAAAUCUGGGCCAGAUGGUUUGGGAGAAUAAACCACCAAUCAAGGCAGAUGG
rnacentral:sRNA from 1 species